GUUGGGUCUUGUGUCAAAUCGUGAAGGUUCGCAUCAGUUGGUAUCAGAGCCGAGUCAAAUCAGGUUACAAUCAUGUUAUCAUGCCAAAAUAAAAGUUCUACUAAAAGUGAUGAUUUGAGGACAAAUCAUUUUAAAGAGAGGGGGAAUGAUGUGAUCCAUGGAAGACCAAGAACAUGUGAUCUAAUAAUGAAAAACUAUAACAAGAGUGUGGUAGGCUGUAUAACACUGAAAACAUUGAAGACAUAAGCUAAAGGUAAGAAGCAUGAUGUGGCAAUCAAAGAUGACGUGGAGAGCAUCAAACACAUAGAAAAUGAUAUGGCACAUCCUUGGUGACGUUUUACUUGACAAAAUAUGAAAUGGAAGCUUAAUUAGGCAAAAAUUCAUGUGAAGAAAGCAAGGGAAUUCAAUUGAAGUUCAAUUUCCUAGUA